GUUACAGCGCAUUUGAUGUCUCAGGGCCACUGUACUCAGCAUGAGGUAAAAAUGAGGUUUAGGAAACAUUUCCAUUUUCCCUUACAACUGUGACUAUAUCUAAGAAAGGCACAGGAUCACGAGGAUUGCCAGAUCCUCCUGGGCGGACACGGCACGAUAAUCUGCAAUGACGACACGACUGGACUGGUCAUGGGACGAGCCUGCGUGGUUCCCUCCUAUCAGUGCCUUAUGGAACUCCAAGUCCAAUCAAUGCAACUCAUUGAUAAUAUUGCUUUUUGCUUGAAACGCAUACAAAACAGAGGACUGGUGCAGUAAUAUAUAUAUAUAUCUAUAUAUAUUUAUAUAUAUAGAUAUAUAUGACGUGACAUGAAUGAGAGAACAAAAGCCAUCAUUUGCAACCCUAAGCACAUUUUGAAGUGCCAGAAAGCCGACAAAUCUCACAUGACAAGUGUAUAAUUGGUUUCUUGUAUUUAAUGCGAUCAGAUUACUCUUCAUUCUUCUGCUGCCAGAUUUUCACUGGUUCUGUGUGUUCAGAUUAUUUUAUUAGAUCCACACAGUGUACUGUUACACACUGGUUACAAUGACAUAGCUUUUAUACUGCUCUAAGUCACUUCUAGUGACCAUGUACUAGUUUUAAAAGAUUUAUCUUAUUAGAGUGAAAUGCUAUUUCAGUCCAAAACAAUGACGUGUGUCGUUUGUACUCUUAACUCUGGUGCUGCUGCCACUGUCUUCUGAAAGUUUGACAGGACCCACGGAGAUGAGAAGAUGACCUGGUUCAGCUUUCACGCGCUACGGGACCAGGUCAUAAUUCACACUUCCGAUACUGCCAAGAGUGUGUUUUGUAUGACGAGUGUGUAAAGCAAAGUAUUUAUGCCUGGGGAAAGAGAAAUCUGUUUGUGAUUUACAGUUUGUAAAAUAUCAAAGGGGCACUGACUCACUAAGGUUUGUCGCUCCGAACAGUGUUUUUUCCCGAGUCAUUCAAGUCUUCUGUACAUCAAAGUAAUACCAAACAAAAAAGGGUAAUUCAAUUGUAGAUUAACUGCAGUCCAAUUAAAGGAUAACAGUAAUGGCUUUUAAACUGUAGUAUUUUGGAUUACCUUACCAUUUUCGUUAACAACUGCACAUUUUACAAUGAGCUGUGGUUCGCUUUUUGAUUUGAUUUCCUUUAAUGAGCAUUACAGUGUUUAGUGACUUCACUUAGUAAAUGAAAAUUACAAAAAAAAAAAUUAUGAAUAAAAUGGAAAAUAGAUUUCUACAAGGUUAAACCAGGGAGAGUCCUGGAGCUUAGCACAUUUACAUAUUGCUGUAAGAAUUUCUUUUCUUUCAAAAAGACUGUGAUUCCAUAGGAUUUAGGGAGACACUUAUCAAAUCACCUGAAACUAUGGGCAGAUAGUUUUAUAUACAUAAAUAUAUAUAAAUAUUUAAAAAACUGACAAUGCGAAAAAAAGAAAGAGCAAACAGAGAAAGAUGUGUACAUUUAGAUAAACGAGAACUAUUUAUAUGACACAAUUGAAUAUUGAUUUCCCCUUUUUUCCUCCUUGUUUGUUGUUUUUUUGUUUUAUUUUAUAAGAAAUUGCAUGUGAAAUCAAUGAUGCUUGACGAGCUCUGCUACUCACAAAGCCACCUUAGGUUUAAUGCUAGAAAGCCAGCCCUAGUAAUUCUUUUAGUAGAAUCACUUUCACCGUUUUUGUUUUCUAUUUUUUCUCUUUUCUUUUUUUUUGUACGUCUCACCUUCUGCAAAAAGAAAACAUAAUAUCGCCAGGCGUAGUAGUGGGUACAAAAGAGCAAAAGAUGCAUGCAUAAUUUGCUGAACCUCAUUAGUGAGGCGCUGUAUAGAGAAUUUUAAUACAUUUUGUAAAUAAAAAUGUACAGAAAGGG
ensembl:lncRNA